rnacentral:SRP_RNA from 1 species
GCCGGACGCGGUGGCGCGCGCCUGUAGUCCCAGCUACCCGGGAGGUUGAGGCAGGAGGAUCGCUUGAGUCCAGGAGUUCUGGGCUGUAGUGCGCUAUGCCGAUCGGGUGUCCGCACUAAGUUCGGCAUCAAUAUGGUGACCUCCCGGGAGCGGGGGACCACCAGGUUGCCUAAGGAGGGGUGAACCGGGCCAGGUCGGAAACGGAGCAGGUCAAAACUCCCGUGCUGAUCAGUAGUGGGAUCGCGCCUGUGAAUAGCCAUGCACUCCAGCCUGGGCAACAUAGCGAGACCCCGUCUCU